rnacentral:sRNA from 1 species
AUUAAAUAGCAUCUAAAGUUAAACGAGGUAUUUUUCAAAUUUAAAACUAAAGAUAUUAAACGGCUAAAUAAAAAUUAGGUA